rnacentral:rRNA from 1 species
UACAGAGGGUGCAAACGUUGUUCGGAUUUACUGGGCGUAAAGCGCGUGUAGGCUGCUUCGCAAGUCGGAUGUGAAAGCCCUGGGCUCAACCCAGGAAGUGCAUUCGAAACUGCAGAGCUGGAGUCCUGGAGAGGAAGGCGGAAUUCUCGGUGUAGAGGUGAAAUUCGUAGAUAUCGAGAGGAACACCGGUGGCGAAGGCGGCCUUCUGGACAGUGACUGACGCUGAGACGCGAAAGCGUGGGGAGCAAACGGG